rnacentral:rRNA from 1 species
CGGACGGGUGAGUAACGCGUGGGUAACCUGCCUCAUACAGGGGGAUAACAGUUAGAAGUGACUGCUAAUACCGCAUAAGCGCACAAAACCGCAUGGUUUGGUGUGAAAAACUGAGGUGGUAUGAGAUGGACCCGCGUCUGAUUAGCUAGUUGGAGAGGUAACGGCUCACCAAGGCAACGAUCAGUAGCCGACCUGAGAGGGUGACCGGCCACAUUGGGACUGAGACACGGCCCAAACUCCUACGGAAGGCAGCAG